UAGGGAAUUUUCGUCAAUGGGCGCAAGCCUGAACGAGCAAUGCCGCGUGAACGAGGAAGGUCUUCGGAUCGUAAAGUUCUGUUGAAGGGGAAAAGGAGCGGAGAGAGGAAAUGGUCUCCGAUUGAUAUUACCCUUCGAGGAAGUCACGGCUAACUACGUGCC
rnacentral:rRNA from 1 species